GAUGUUUAACCGAUGUUGCACCCUAUAAUGCUUUAUGGAAAUAUGCUUAUGAAUGUAUAUAUGACAUAACUGGGCAUGCCAUGUAACAUAUCUCUGCAAAGGUUAUGAUCUACUGAAUCUAUCCAUCCUAUCUGUACACAUGUAACAUUUUUGUAUUCAAAGUUAUAAAUAUUGGCUGUGUACUUGUUUGAUUUUAAGUAGCCUUAGUAAGGUAUUUGGUCAGAUUCUUAAGCAAGGAAUUUUCAAGUUAAAUGCCCAAUCAAGAAACACGUAACGGACAAUAGAACCUUGGAAGACUCCAAUCCAAAGAAGAAGUCUACUUGGGGACAUUGAAGGUAGCAUGUGAACAAUGGCCACCACCUGUAAAGUUCUGAGUCAUGCGCGGAUAUAUGCCUUGCUGGAUUCUGCAUAGGAGAGAGGAGAGGGACUCCAACCACAAAGGAAAGUCUAUUUAAGCCCCUUGGAGACACCUCCCUUUUGUCUUCAGCUGGCUCAAGAGAUAGCCUCUCCAACCCAAAGGAUGCCUGAAAGAAACUGGAACAAAGGACAGUAACCACAGGGGUGAGGAUCGCUGGACCCAGACUAGAGGGAGAUUAGUCUGUAAAAGAAACAUAUUGGAACAUCUUUGAGGGUGAGAUUUCAUCUGUAAUCACUUUCUUACUGUACUAGACUUAGACUUGCAUGUUUUAUUUUAUUUUGCUUGGUAAUUCACUUUGUUCUGUUUGUUAUUACUUGGAACCACUUAAAUCCUACUUUCUGUAUUUAAUACAA